AGGUACGGUAUGUAUGUAUUGUAUCAAAAAUAUCAGAAAAAUUUUACGUGUCAAUGUUGCAGUGACGUUUAGAGUAACGCAUGUAAGAGACUUUUUAAGAAUUGAAAUUUACACAAAAAAUCUUAAGGAACAAAUACAACUCCAGAACGAAUAUUAGAUAGCUACAAUAUCAGCAGACAUUUGGAUACGUCACGAGGCAUAUCGCGAGGGUCACGAUCUUCUAAUAGACGGAGGUGGGGUGAGUGGUGCGAACGUGAUGUCCUCGCUCAACUCCCGUAGGGGACGUCGAGUUCCAGUUGUUGGGGCACCCAGAACGUGGUCUGUCUUCCCGGUGAUGGAGCAUCGCAUGGGGGCGCAAGCUGGAGUGAAUUAAAGUGAGAAUUGCCUAAACGAUCACGUCUGACCAUCUGCAUUAUCGGAGAAGACGGACUCGCGGCGCGCAUUUCCCGCGUCACUGUGAGUCUCUCUAAGCCGGAACAGGAUGAACUCGUUGGGGCUUAAUCGGUACUCGUUCUGUGGAACAGCAAUGCGGCUCACACUGUCUAAUGCGCCUUUCUGAAGGCCCAGUCUACACGAAGACGCCGGAGUCGAACAUAACCCGGCCAGUUUCUCCAUCGAGCGUGUAUUCAUAAAUUAAUCGCCCGACAUAAAAAGAGGUCGAAACAUAAAUUCAAACUUUAUUAUGCGUCACAGCUAAUCUAAACCAUUUCACAUAGGCAUUAUCUCAUUUCAUACUAUAUAUAAAUUAUUUCAAAUAAAACAAGUUCAUUACA